CAGAGUACUUAACUCCUAACCCUUCUGUGAACAUACCUGUAUUCGUUGCUUCGGUAGGCAGCCCCAGGGCGGGGCUGUAGCCUUCACAGGCGCCUGCCGGAGGUAUCAAACUCUGAUUUUAUUAUGUUUCUUCUGAGUGAUCUAAGCAAAUAAUCA
rnacentral:misc_RNA from 1 species